UGCCAGCCGCCGCGGUAAGACAGAGGGUGCAAGCGUUAAUCGGAAUUACUGGGCGUAAAGGGCGCGUAGGUGGUUAGAUAAGUCAGAUGUGAAAUCCCCGGGCUUAACCUGGGAACUGCAUAUGAAACUGUUUGACUAGAGUACAAUAGAGGGUGGUGGAAUUUCCUGUGUAGCGGUGAAAUGCGUAGAUAUAGGAAGGAACACCAGUGGCGAAGGCGACCACCUGGAUUGAUACUGACACUGAGGCGCGAAAGCGUGGGUAGCGAACAGGAUUAGAUA
rnacentral:rRNA from 1 species